rnacentral:rRNA from 1 species
UACGAAGGGGGCUAGCGUUGCUCGGAAUCACUGGGCGUAAAGGGUGCGUAGGCGGGUUUUUAAGUCAGAGGUGAAAUCCUGGAGCUCAACUCCAGAACUGCCUUUGAUACUGAAGAUCUUGAGUCCGGGAGAGGUGAGUGGAACUGCGAGUGUAGAGGUGAAAUUCGUAGAUAUUCGCAAGAGCACCAGUGGCGAAGGCGGCUCACUGGCCCGGUACUGACGCUGAGGCACGAAAGCGUGGGGAGCAAACAGG